rnacentral:lncRNA from 1 species
GACAUUCAAGAGUGCGAGUCUUCUCCAUGCCAAAAUAAAGGAUCGUGUACAGACAACAUCAAUGGGUAUACAUGCACUUGCAAUAAAGGAUAUACUGGCAACAACUGUGUGAUUGACAUUAAUGAAUGCAAGUCAUCACCCUGUCUGAACGGUGCUUCUUGUAUAGAUGGUACUAAUGGUUACACAUGUUCCUGCAGGGCUGGAUUUGGUGGUGACCUAUGCGAAACGGACAUAGAUGAAUGCAAGUCUUCCCCGUGUCAAAACGAGGCUUUAUGCACAGAUCGAAUCAAUGGUUAUAUUUGUACGUGUGUUGCCGGAUAUUCCGGUGUUCGCUGCGUAUUUG